UUAAUUAAUUACUUAAUAACAAAUGCCACCAUAGUUUAGUGCAAAUUAAGCCAAGCUUAUGAGAGAUGAAGUUUGAACAAAAGAUAAAUAUAUAAGUUUUUGGUUGAUGAUUAUUAUGGUAAUUCAUUCUAAAAAUAAGAUGAGUUUGUUUCAUGAUUGAAACAAAACUCUACCAUUUCCAAUAUUCAUUUGAGUGAGAUGGAUUUCUUGAGGGAGAAGAUGGUACUUGAUACCAUGAAUCUCAAACAUCUUUUUCAACUCCAAGAGAAGUUCUGAUAUCCUAGUGCUUCUUUCACCAUAGUUCUGAUGGUUAAUGGUGUGUGUUACACAUAAACACAGCUUUAACUUGUCCACUUGAUCUAUUUGUUUUGCCAUCACACUAUGCUUUGGAUUCCAAUACUUUGGUUUACUCUCAAUGUACCUAAAUUCACAAUUAAUUAAUAACCGUCAAAAUAGCAACAAAAAAAUUAAAAUUGAUUGUGUUACUUAGGUAUAAUUUCAAGUUUAAAUUAAUUAACUUUCUCUAUCACACACACCGUAAACUCUAAACUCGAUGAUAAAUAGAAAAACAAUACACUGUGAGCUUCGGUCCUCUUUGUAAUAAAAAAAAAAAACAAAAAAGAUAAUGCAUUCGGAGAGGUAAAU
rnacentral:lncRNA from 1 species